rnacentral:rRNA from 1 species
GCCGAAUAUCCAAGGUUUCCAGAGUAAAGCUGAUCUGCUCUGGGUAAGUCGGGGCCUAAGGCGAGGACGAGAGUCGUAGCCGAUGGACAACAGGUGGAGAUUCCUGUACUGCGGUAUGACAGAACUGUGGGGACACGUAAGGAAAGCGGAAGCCGGGAAUGGAAAGCCCGGUGCAAGCGGGGUACCAGUCACUUUGGCAAAUCCGGGUGGCAAUGGGAAGCCGUGAUGCGGAGCGAAAUAAAGUAGCGAAGUCCGUGAGCCAUGCGUCAAGAAAAGCCGCUAUCGUUUAUACCGUACCCGUACCGUAAACCGACACAGGUGGAUGAGGAGAGAAUCCUAAGGCCGGCGGAAGAAGCAUUGUCAAGGAACUCGGCAAAAUGGCCCCGUAACUUAGGGAUAAGGGGUGCCUGGGAAACCAGGCCGCAGAGAAUAGGCUCAAGCAACUGUUUAGCAAAAACACAGGUCUAUGCGAAACCGAAAGGUGAGGUAUAUGGGCUGACGCCUGCCCGGUGCUGGAAGGUUAAGAGGAGAGGUUAGCGGUAACGCGAAGCUUUGAAUUUAAGCCCCAGUAAACGGCGGCCGUAACUAUAACGGUCCUAAGGUAGCGAAAUUCCUUGUCGGGUAAGUUCCGACCCGCACGAAAGGCGUAAUGAUUUGAGCGCUGUCUCGACAAUGCAUCCGGUGAAAUUGAAGUACCAGUGAAGAUGCUGGUUACCUGCGCCAGGACGGAAAGACCCCAUGGAGCUUUACUCCAGUCUGGUACUGGGACUCGGUAUUGCAUGUACAGGAUAGGUGGGAGGCUAGGAGAUGGUAACGCCAGUUGCCAUGGAGCCGCUGUUGGGAUACCACCCUUGCAGUAUUGGGUUUCUAACCAGCCGCCGUGACCCGGCGGUGGGACAAUGCCAGACGGGGAGUUUGACUGGGGCGGUCGCCUCCGAAAGGGUAUCGGAGGCGCCCAAAGGUUCCCUCAGAAUGGACGGAAACCAUUCGAAGAGUGCAAAGGCAGAAGGGAGCUUGACUGCGACACCGACGGGUGGAGCAGGUACGAAAGUAGGGCUUAGUGAUCCGGUGGUAUUAAGUGGGAAUGCCAUCGCUCAACGGAUAAAAGCUACCCUGGGGAUAACAGGCUUAUCACUCCCAAGAGUUCACAUCGACGGAGUGGUUUGGCACCUCGAUGUCGGCUCAUCGCAUCCUGGGGCUGUAGUAGGUCCCAAGGGUUGGGCUGUUCGCCCAUUAAAGCGGUACGCGAGCUGGGUUCAGAACGUCGUGAGACAGUUCGGUCCCUAUCCGGCGUGGGCGUAGGAUAUCUGAGAGGAGCUGUCCUUAGUACGAGAGGACCGGGAUGGACGGGCCGCUGGUGCAUCGGUUAGACUGCCAAGUCUACGGCCGAGUAGCCAAGCCCGGAAGGGAUAAACGCUGAAGGCAUCUAAGCGUGAAGCCCCCCU